UUAACGUUUCUUAUCAUUUUCAGCACUAGUUUCUUGCUAUCAUCUGGUUCAAUGAAUGUGCACCCUUUUCAAAUAAUCUUUUACAUAUCUAACAUUUCAAGAACCUUCUGGACACUCUCCUAGUUACACCCACUAAUCCUUCUUGAAGCUUCAUAUUAUUUAUUAUAUCAUAUAUUCUUUCAAACGUUAGGUUAUAUUUUAUACUCUACAUUUAAUAAUAAUGUAUUGAAUAUCAAUCCUUAAUUAAAACCAAGAAUUUCUCGAUCGAUGUCUUUGUCAUUCACAUUCA
rnacentral:lncRNA from 1 species